rnacentral:rRNA from 1 species
GACGAACGCUGGCGGCGUGCUUAACACAUGCAAGUCGAACGGAAAGGCUCCAGCUUGCUGGAGUACUCGAGUGGCGAACGGGUGAGUAACACGUGGGUAAUCUGCCCUGCACUCUGGGAUAAGCCUGGGAAACUGGGUCUAAUACUGGAUAUGACCUUUCUCCUUAUGGGGUUUGGUGGAAAGUUUUUCGGUGUAGGAUGAGCCCGCGGCCUAUCAGCUUGUUGGUGGGGUGAUGGCCUACCAAGGCGACGACGGGUAGCCGGCCUGAGAGGGUGAUCGGCCACAUUGGGACUGAGAUACGGCCCAGACUCCUACGGGAGGCAGCAGUGGGGAAUAUUGCACAAUGGGCGGAAGCCUGAUGCAGCGACGCCGCGUGAGGGAUGACGGCCUUCGAGUUGUAAACCUCUUUCAGCAGGGACGAAGCGUAAGUGACGGUACCUGCAGAAGAAGCACCGGCUAACUAUGUG